rnacentral:rRNA from 1 species
UACGUAGGGUGCGAGCGUUGUCCGGAAUUAUUGGGCGUAAAGGGCUCGUAGGCGGUGUGUCGCGUCGGCCGUGAAAACCUGCAGCUUAACUGUGGGCUUGCGGUCGAUACGGGCAUCACUGGAGUUCGGCAGGGGAGACUGGAAUUCCUGGUGUAGCGGUGAAAUGCGUAGAUAUCUGGAGGAACACCGGUGGCGAAGGCGGCAUCCUGGACCAACACUGACACUGAGGAGCGAAAGCCAGGGGAGCAAACGGG